AUGAGCAGGGGAGGGGCAGAGAGAAACGGAGACACAGCAUCUGUCAGCACAGAGCCCGACACGGGGCUCCAACUCACGAACUGUGAGAUCAUGACCUGAGCCGAGGUCGGACGCUUAACCGACUGACCCCCCACCCCCUCCCGCAGGCGCCCCAACGUUGUAUUUCUUGACUUUGAGGCAAAGAAGCAGACGUAGGCAGGUCGCUUAGGCCCCCCAGGGACACGCCGCCGGUGAGAGCCUCAGCUCCGAGCUGCCCGCAGGAUAUCCGUAGCUGUCAGAACUCCUCCUCUGCCCGCUCUCUAGAAGAGUUGAUGUAUGACGUCAUGUUAGAUUCAGGGGUGCGACACAGCGAUUGGGAAAUCGCGUCUGUUUCUCAGUGCACACCAGGCAAGCGUGGUCACCCGUCGUCACCACGAGCGCAUGGCUUCCCCAUCCUUCCUUUCCGCACAGAAGGCCACCAAUUUCCCGGCAGAGCGGGCUCUGUUUCUCAUUGGCUGGUGGACUCGGAGAAGGCGGGACUCUUCAAACAGGCUCUUCUGCCUUUCCUGCUUUCCUAAGCGAGGCCAAGUUCAGUGAUGCCAGGAACGCAGAUGUUCUUGCGGUUGGGUCUCCCUGAUCAGCACAGGCCUGGUGUUUUGCUGUCUUUUAAUCGCGAGGCUUACAGUUCACAAACAGCCUCUGCUCCCCUCAUCUCCCCAAACUGGGUAAUCACGACACAGCUUUAACUUGCUUCCGAUCCGAUACCCCUCUCUGCUAACAAUAUAUGCAGCCAGCUUGCCUGGGAGCAGGGCGACCGGCCUGAUCAGGUCGACAGGGACUAUCCCAGCCUUAGUACCGAAAAGCCCAGUGUUGUGGGAACCCCUCAGACCGGGCAAACUGGGACAGCUGCUCAUCUCAACCGGGAGGCUCCCACUUGGGGAUGUUCGGCUACUCCUGGGGUUGGCUGCAGACGGGGGGAACGGGGGGACCCAGACGGGAGGGCCGGGUGGGAAGGUUUGGUCGUGGCUGGAGUAGGAGACCCGAGCCCUCUCUGCCUUCCAGAACGGACCCCAGCCUGGUAACGCCGCUGUCCCUGCCCCAAGGUCAGUGCUGAGCAUCUCACGUCCUGGUGCUGGGAUAACCUCAGUGAGCGUCACAUCUUUCCACUUCUCUUAUAGAUGGGGAAACCGAGCCGGGAAGGGGAGGCUUUCCCAAACAAUAACAAUGCCAACUCAGAUUUACGGGUAUCAGGAUAGCACAGAUGUCCAGAGAAGAGCUGGGUGUUAACCCCGUCUCUACCGUGAGGACCAGGGCGGAGAUGACCAGUGUGGUCAGAGGGGACCAGGCAAAGCCCACUGGACAAAUGGCCAAGUUGUCAAACUUUUAACGUUUAUAGCAAAUUGUGCAGGAUGGGAUGGAUUUGGAAGGUUUCUGUGACGUUUUGCUGACCAAUAAUUAUUUUUCCUUUGUGUCAGUAUUUUAACAAAUGUUUUGGAGGAAAGACAGAGGGGAAUCAGUAUGUCAGUAUGCAGCUGCUAACCUUGGCUGCUGACUCCUGGACGAGAGAGAGUGAGAGAGACAGGGGUGGGGAAGGCUGAGGGUAUUAGUUCAUUAAUCUACUCUUCUCAUAAAGAGAACCGUGUUCAGAAAACUAUUCUUUAAAAAUUUUGGAAUGCAUUGAUUAUAUGCUUUUAGAAAGCUUCCUUAUGCUGGGAAAUUUCAAACACACACAAACAGAAUAAUAUAAUGAGCCCGACGCACCAUUCUUUUCAACAGGGAUCAAUAUGUAACCAGUCCUGUGUCAUCUCUGUCCCCACGCUUUGUCUCCUCUCCCCAAGCACGGACUGUUAAGCAACUCCAGCCGUUCGUGUCUUCUGUAAAUAUGACUGUUCUCAAGUAUACCAAAUACAUUCCUGAAAAUACCUUUCUUGGGGUGGAAAAAUUCCUGCCAGUAUACAUUUCCACGUCCCUGAGUCUCCCCUUCCCUGCUUUUCAGCCCUCCUGUCUAUCUCCUCCCUCACCCCUCACCCUUCACCCUCCCCUCUCUGUCCUCAGCGUCCCCCUAACCUGACCAGCGGUCUCUCCUUCCGGGGGUGGGCAGUCCAGGCUGACUCUCCCCCCCACCUCCCACCCCGACCGUUUCCUCCAUCUGAAGCAGUGGGGAG